rnacentral:rRNA from 1 species
AACGAACGCUGGCGGCAGGCUUAACACAUGCAAGUCGAACGAGAUCUUCGGAUCUAGUGGCAGACGGGUGAGGAACACGUGGGAACAUCCCUUUCAGUUCGGAAUAACGUUGGGAAACUAACGCUAAUACCGGAUACGUCCUUCGGGAGAAAGAUUUAUCGCUGAAAGAUUGGCCCGCGUCUGAUUAGCUGGUUGGUGAGGUAACGGCUCACCAAGGCUACGAUCAGUAGCUGAUCUGAGAGGAUGAUCAGCCACAUUGGGACUGAGACACGGCCCAAACUCCUACGGGAGGCAGCAGUGGGGAAUAUUGGACAAUGGGCGCAAGCCUGAUCCAGCCAUGCCGCGUGAGUGAUGACGGCCUUUGGGUUGUAAAGCUCUUUUGUCCGGGAAGAUAAUGACUGUACCGGAAGAAUAAGCCCCGGCAAACUUCGUGCCAGCCGCCGCAGUAA